rnacentral:rRNA from 1 species
GACGAACGCUGGCGGCGUGCUUAACACAUGCAAGUCGAACGAUGAAGCUGGAGCUUGCUCCGGUGGAUUAGUGGCGAACGGGUGAGUAACACGUGAGCAAUCUGCCCUUGACUCUGGGAUAACUGCGGGAAACUGUAGCUAAUACCGGAUACGACACCUUGGGGCAUCCCAGGGUGUGGAAAGAAUUUCGGUCAAGGAUGAGCUCGCGGCCUAUCAGCUAGUUGGUGAGGUAAUGGCUCACCAAGGCGACGACGGGUAGCCGGCCUGAGAGGGUGACCGGCCACACUGGAACUGAGACACGGUCCAGACUCCUACGGGAGGCAGCAGUGGGGAAUAUUGCACAAUGGGCGAAAGCCUGAUGCAGCAACGCCGCGUGAGGGAUGAAGGCCUUCGGGUUGUAAACCUCUUUUAGCAGGGAAGAAGCGAAAGUGACGGUACCUGCAGAAAAAGCACCGGCUAACUACGUGCCAGCAGCCGCGGUAAUACGUAGGGUGCAAGCGUUGUCCGGAAUUAUUGGGCGUAAAGAGCUCGUAGGCGGUUUGUCGCGUCUGCUGUGAAAAUCCGAGGCUCAACCUCGGACCUGCAGUGGGUACGGGCAAACUAGAGUGCGGUAGGGGAGAUGGGAAUUCCUGGUGUAGCGGUGGAAUGCGCAGAUAUCAGGAGGAACACCGAUGGCGAAGGCACAUCUCUGGGCCGCAACUGACGCUGAGGAGCGAAAGCGUGGGGAGCGAACAGGAUUAGAUACCCUGGUAGUCCACGCCGUAAACGGUGGGUGCUAGUUGUGGGCUCCAUUCCACGGAGUCCGUGACGAAGUUAACACAUUAAGCACCCCGCCUGGGGGGUACGGUCGCAAGACUA